GUAGGGAAUGGGGGACGGGCAGUCGUUCGGGGAAGGGGCUGGGCGAGUCUCGCGAGGUGCGGGAACUGGUUGGGGGCCCGAGGCAUUGUGGGAGGUGAUGCUGGGAAGGGGCGGUGGCCGGCUGCCCUCCUACCCCGAGCUAUGUUUAACCCCUUCGGCGCGUCUCGUCUUCGGGCCGACGCGCGGCUAAGGGUGGGAAUAGAGAACUGGUAGCUCGACUCCCAGCGCCCACUUUUCCCCCUCUCCGCCUAAGCUGUUCUCACUGACACUUCUUGUAGGUGACUAGACACAGGACUUUCCCUUUUGGUCCUCCCCUAAAUGACUCACCGCCGCAUAAUAAUGAGACAGAAGACUUAUACCAGUAAAACGGUUAUUGCACGAUUGAUGGACUUAAACAGUUCCCCAUUUCCUCCUGUGCUUUCAUGCCGCUCUACGUUUGCAGAAGCUGCACCCGCAGCCUACAGCAUUCUUACCACCUGGUGAACUUGAUGAUAAGAUUACUGGUAGUGUAAAGAACUUGGACUUUGGGGCCAUACUUACCAGAAUGCACCUGAGACCUUUUUAGAAGCACUAUCCCAGAGGGAACACAGAACAUGGAGUCAAAAGAACCUUGAGCCGAAUCCUGGCUGAACCAUUCCGUGGCUAUCACAGUAUUUUUGAGAUGAGAAUCAGCGCAAAACACCUGGCAGGUUGGAAGAGGGCGUGCAGGGGGAACCCUGACAUUCAGUUCAGUUCAGUUCAGUCGCUCAGUCGUGUCCGACUCUGCGACCCCAUGAAUCACAGCACGCCAGGCCUCCCUGUCCAUCACCAACUCCCGGAGUUCACCCAGACUCAAGUCCAUCGAGUCAGUGAUGCCAUCCAGCUAUCUUAGGGACUUUCCUGAUGGCUCAGUUGGUAAAGAAUUCACCUGCAAUGCAAGAGACCUGGGUUCGAUCCCUGAGUCGGGAAGAUCCCCUGAAGAAGGAAAAUGGCAACCCAGUCCAGUAUCCUUGCCUGGAAAAUCCUGUAGACAGAGGAGCCUGGUGGAGAUUUCAGGACCCCACGAAGGAACCCAUCCCAGUUUUCAGUCUCUUUAAUGCCAGAGAGUUGUACCCAUAUCUACCAUAAAUCUUUUUCAUCUUAAUUUAAGCCAUUUCCUCCAUUCUUUCCUCUGUGAAAAAGGAAAAUAAACUUUAAAGUGCAUUUUGACACCAAAA
ensembl:lncRNA